CAGCAGCCGCGGGAAUACGUAGGUGGCAAGCGUUGUCCGGAAUUAUUGGGCGUAAAGGGCUCGCAGGCGGUUUCUUAAGUCUGAUGUGAAAGCCCCCGGCUCAACCGGGGAGGGUCAUUGGAAACUGGGAAACUUGAGUGCAGAAGAGGAGAGUGGAAUUCCACGUGUAGCGGUGAAAUGCGUAGAGAUGUGGAGGAACACCAGUGGCGAAGGCGACUCUCUGGUCUGUAACUGACGCUGAGGAGCGAAAGCGUGUGGAGCGAACAGGAUUAGAUACCCCUGUAGUCCCUGUCUCUUAUAC
rnacentral:rRNA from 1 species